rnacentral:rRNA from 1 species
AUUGAACGCUGGCGGCAGGCCUAACACAUGCAAGUCGAACGGUAACAGGAAGAAGCUUGCUUCUUUGCUGACGAGUGGCGGACGGGUGAGUAAUGUCUGGGAAACUGCCUGAUGGAGGGGGAUAACUACUGGAAACGGUAGCUAAUACCGCAUAACGUCGCAAGACCAAAGAGGGGGACCGUCGGGCCUCUUGCCAUCGGAUGUGCCCAGAUGGGAUUAGCUAGUUGGUGGGGUAACGGCUCACCAAGGCGACGAUCCCUAGCUGGUCUGAGAGGAUGACCAGCCACACUGGAACUGAGACACGGUCCAGACUCCUACGGGAGGCAGCAGUGGGGAAUAUUGCACAAUGGGCGCAAGCCUGAUGCAGCCAUGCCGCGUGUAUGAAGAAGGCCUUCGGGUUGUAAAGUACUUUCAGCGGGGAGGAAGGGAGUAAAGUUAAUACCUUUGCUCAUUGACGUUACCCGCAGAAGAAGCACCGGCUAACUCCGUGCCAGCAGCAGCCGCCG